ensembl:lncRNA
CUUGAUGCUUGACUCAGUCUGAAAGUACCUGUUGGGGAGUGAUGAGAACUGUGUAAUAAUUAAAAGUCUGAAAUUGUCCAAGGAGCUGGAUCAGAGAUGCCACAGAGCUGAAGAAUGUGGACAUUAUGGCAGACAACACUGAUGUUAAUGUGACAGAAAACAACAGACAGAGCAAAGACUAUCCUCAAAACUUCAAUGCUGAGAACAGAUCAGAUGACACUGAGGUACUUCAUUCUCCAAAAGCUGAAUGUGUCAUUUCUGAAAAUGCGGUACCAACAACAGAAGACAGUACCUUAUAUGACAAUGAAGUAUUUCAUCCUCCAGGAUCUGAAUGCGGUAUAUAAAGGUGCUUUCACACUUGGUUCGCUUGCCUGGUCCGAAUCCGAGUUCGAUUGCUCCCCCCUUCCCCUUCCCCCGCUGGACUAAAUCAUAUUAUUUAUUUGGCUCCGAAACCGCGGUUUGUUUGCGUCAUCAAGCCAGCAGCUGUUUACCCCGUUGCUUAGUAACAGCGGCGCAGGAAAAGGUGACAAAUGCA